rnacentral:sRNA from 1 species
CUGUGAGAGAAGAAUCUGUCAACCUGCGUAAUCCUUCCUAUUUCAGCCUUCUAUCCUUUCCUCUCUCUUUUUGAUUUUAUCGCAUGGGCUAGGGAUGGGGAGAACAUGUGGGCCACUCGGGCGCGAGGAGCAGGAGUCGAUCGUCUAGUGGCGCUACUCCUAAGUCAGAUGAGCCUCACAGCACACACGUGAAUUAUGUCCUUAUCCUUUUUUAACCUUUUGAUUUUCAAUGUUUGUUUCAAAUUCAUUUGUAGAAAGUUUAUAUGCCAAAUAUUUUCUAGGUAGAAUGUUUCUAUAUAUAAAGUUGUUUUUAUGUGCCUUUUCUUUUCUUUUUUUGUUUUCAAUGUUGUUUUGAAUUCAUUUGUAGAACGUAUGUGUUUGGAAUGUUUCUACGUAGAAUGUUCCCAUCUACAAAGUUUUUUCUGUAUAAAGUUUAUCGGUACAAAAUCACAAUGUACUAUGAAUUGUUUUCUGGACCAAUAAAUUUCUCAUGUGAGUUAUUUCAGCCCUAAUGGAUUGCAUAGUUCGGGAUGAUCAUGCAUGCUUGUAUAGACUUGUUUUCUUCGGGAAAGGGAAAGGCCGCGUGCACCUGGGCCUCUUUUC